rnacentral:rRNA from 1 species
GACGAACGCUGGCGGCGUGCCUAAUACAUGCAAGUCGAACGCAGUGGGGACGGGUGAGUAACACGUGGGUAACCUCCCAUCAGAGGGGAUAACACUUGGAAACAGGUGCUAAACCGAUACUGAUGGAUGGACCCGCGGUGCAUUAGCUAGUUGGUGAGGUAACGGCUUACCAAGGCCACGAUGCAUAGCCGACCUGGGAGGGUGAUCGGCCCCCCUGGGACUGAGGCACGGCCCCGACUCCGACGGGAGGCAGCAGUAGCAAAUCUUCGCCAAUGGCCGAAAGUCUGCCCGAGCGACGCCGCGUAAGUGAAGAAGGUUUUCGGAUCGUAAAGCUCUGUUGUUAGAGAAGCGGUAUCUAACCAGAAAGCCACGGCUAACUACGUGCCAGCAGCCGCGGUAAUAC